AAUUAUCGUUGACGCCUUUUUUAUGUGAAAACAGAUACCUAUACACACAAUGUAUGUAAUUGAUCCUACCCUAGCAGAGUAUACCUUUCUUGAGGUAUCAUUCCAAUUCCAAUACUGGAAAAUUCCUUCACAAACAAUAAAGGAUACAAUACCAAGAUAAACACACUAGAAAUGGACGGUACGAAGAUUGACUGCUGAGAAAGAGUUUUGUUGUGUUUACGGUAAGUGUAUACACUAAGAAUUUACUACGUUAUAUAUCGCUGACAAUCGAUAAAUAUUCAUAACAUAAUAUAUGGAAAUAAAGCGAGAAAUAUUUGAUGAAUAAAAAUGGUAGACUGUUAAUACAAGAGGGUUUGAACGCUGAUGAAUUAAGUACUUGAAGCUGAUAGGAUCCAAAUCCAGCAAUUCGCGUGUUUAUAUAAAAAACAGGUUUGGUAAUUUAGGAGUUUUCGUGAGAGCAUGGCAAAACUGUUCAGUGAAGUGAGAAGUUUGAUGGAUUCAAGUAAUAAAGCAGCCUUAUAAAAUAGCAAGUUCCAUACCUAUUAAUAUUUUUACCACUAUUAAUAUUACUUCGUUUGCAUUUAGAUUUCCAAUUUUUAAAGAAAAAGAACAAGAAACCGAUCAUAUGCUACCAAAUUUAUUUGAAAAAUCAAAAGUAUUCAGUAUCGUUUCACUUUUAAUCAGUUAAGUAAACAGAUUUGGCAUUUUGCUGUAGUAGUAGUUCAACGACUUCAAUUUCUAGGCAUUGAAAAAACGUUUUUGC